GACGAACGCUGGCGGCGUGCCUAAUACAUGCAAGUCGAACGCUGAAGGAGGAGCUUGCUUCUCUGGAUGAGUUGCGAACGGGUGAGUAACGCGUAGGUAACCUGCCUGGUAGCGGGGAUAACUAUUGGAAACGAUAGCUAAUACCGCAUAAUAGUAGAUGUUGCAUGACAUUUGCCUAAAAGGUGCAAUUGCAUCACUACCAGAUGGACCUGCGUUGUAUUAGCUAGUUGGUGGGGUAACGGCUCACCAAGGCGACGAUACAUAGCCGACCUGAGAGGGUGAUCGGCCACACUGGGACUGGGACACGGCCCAGACUCCUACGGGAGGCAGCAGUAGGGAAUCUUCGGCAAUGGACGGAAGUCUGACCGAGCAACGCCGCGUGAGUGAAGAAGGUUUUCGGAUCGUAAAGCUCUGUUGUAAGAGAAGAACGAGUGUGAGAGUGGAAAGUUCACACUGUGACGGUAUCUUACCAGAAAGGGACGGCUAACUACGUG
rnacentral:rRNA from 1 species